rnacentral:rRNA from 1 species
GCUUGAAGUCAGUCGCGUUGUCCGGAACUCAGCCUUGCUUUUGCUUGGUGCACUUUCCGGAUGACGGGUCAGCAUCGAUUUUGACCGUCGGAAAAGGGCUGGAGUAAUGUGGCACCUCCGGGUGUGUUAUAGACUCUGGUCGCAUACGGCGGUUGGGAUCGAGGAACGCAGCGCGCCGCGAGGCAGGGGUUCGCCCACUUUCGCGCUUAGGAUGCUGGCAUAAUGGCUUUAAACGACCCGUCUUGAAACACGGACCAAGGAGUCUAACAUACUUGCGAGUGUUUGGGUGGAAAACCCGAGCGCGUAAUGAAAGUGAAAGUUGAGAUCCCUGUCGUGGGGAGCAUCGACGCCCGGACCAGACGUUCUCUGACGGAUCCGCGGUAGAGCAUGUAUGUUGGGACCCGAAAGAUGGUGAACUAUGCCUGAAUAGGGUGAAGCCAGAGGAAACUCUGGUGGAGGCUCGUAGCGAUUCUGACGUGCAAAUCGAUCGUCAAAUUUGGGUAUAGGGGCGAAAGACUAAUCGAACCAU